rnacentral:rRNA from 1 species
GAUGAACGCUGGCGGUGUGCCUAAUACAUGCAAGUCGUACGCAUUCUCGUUUCUGAUUGACGGUGCUUGCACCUAAUUGACGAGACAUUGGGAUGAGUGGCGGACGGGUGAGUAACACGUGGGUAACCUGCCCAGAAGUGGGGGAUAACAUUUGGAAACAGAUGCUAAUACCGCAUAAAAGUCAAAACCACAUGGUUUUGAUUUAGAAGAUGGCCUUUGUGCUAUCACUUCUGGAUGGACCCGCGGCGUAUUAGCUAGUUGGUAAGGUAACGGCUUACCAAGGCAAUGAUACGUAGCCGAACUGAGAGGUUGAUCGGCUACAAUGGGACUGAGACGCGGCCCAUACUCCUACGGGAGGCAGCAGUAGGGAAUCUUCCACAAUGGGCGCAAGCCUGAUGGAGCAACACCGCGUGAGUGAAGAAGGGUUUCGGCUCGUAAAACUCUGUUGUUAAAGAAGAACGUAUCUAAGAGUAACUGCUUAGGUAGUGACGGUAUUUAACCAGAAAGCCACGGCUAACUACGUGCCAGCAGCCGCAGUAA